AUUGGGCUGCCCCAGGAGUUUACUUUAGAUCAUAAGGGUUUUUAGCUAGUUUUCCGUUAGGAAACCUUUUGUAAAAGGGGAUAAGAUUUUUUUUUUAUUAUACUUUUUUUUUUAUUACUGAACUGAUAGACCAUAAAUCUAUGGUUGUUUUUUUUUUAUAUAAUAAUAAAAUUUAAAAAACAACUUUCAGCAAUGGAUCUCUCGGCUUUCGUAUCGAUGAAGAACGCAGCAAAUCGCGAUAUGUAAUGUGAUCUGCCUAUAGUGAAUCAUCAAAUCUUUGAACGCAUCUUGCACCUUAUGGUAUUCCAUAAGGUACGUCUGUUUCAGUACCACUAAUAAAUCUCCUCUCCACCUUGGUGGUUUAAAAGAACGAGAUAAAUGAUUACUGGUUCUGGUGAUUUUAUUUUAUAUAAAAUUACUCUCAACCUAAAUAUUAGGCUCGACUUUUCUUUUUUUUCCUCGGAAAAAAAAACCAGUCAGGCUUUAAUAGAAUUUCAUUUUUUCUACUAAGGUUUAUUGCCAUCACUUUUUUUUAACAAAACUGGCCUGAAAUC
rnacentral:misc_RNA from 1 species